ACACGACUCUCGGCAAUGGAUAUCUCGGCUCUCGCAUCGAUGAAGAGCGCAGCGAAAUGCGAUAUGUGGUGCGAAUUGCAGAAUCCCGCGAACCAUCGAGUCUUUGAACGCAAGUUGCGCCUGAGGCCAAUCGGUUAAGGGCACGUCCGCCUGGGCGUCAAGC
rnacentral:rRNA from 1 species